GCCGUCGUAGCACCAAAACAUUUCAUCCACAAAGAGCAGGAGGCCCUCUUGCGCAUGGGCACGCACGAGUACGCCGAUGGUCUGCCACAUGCGAUCAAUAUCAAAGACGUCGAGAAAAUGGUCGCCUCUAGUGUCCCUGAGUUCGUAAUCAUCAACGGCGGAUUCAGAAGAAAAAAUGCCAAACACGGGGUGGUCGGCAUCGGUCGUGACGCAUACGACAUGUCGAACGCGUUGCGCCAACACGCGAGCGAGGCGCGUCGCAACAGUCGUCUUGCCUUGACAGCGAGGACCGCAGACCAUCGUGACAGAGCCGCCUGCCGACCGAGGCCAUGGAGAUAGGCCGCGCCAAGCGAAAUCUUUGAUGUCAAAGCGUUCGCAGACAAUACGAGGCCAUACGUUUUUCAGGCGGCGGGCGGCACACCAAAACUCGGGCGAACCGUGAAGCGGCGCGUGUGUCGAGGCCAACCACGUACACAGAACGGCCACGUCGGUCACAUCGUCGUCCUCGUUAUUCUUGUCGGCCAGAGCGGUCGCAACGGCGCAUAGUGCCUCGCCAAAGAGAUGAUGGUAGAGGAUCUCUUCAAGCGCGAGCGAGGGCAAGUGCAUUAAAAUGCCGGCCCCCGUGAUGCCCACGUCGGCAGUGGUCGUAUUGGUCUCUGAAACCCGCACAUGCCGCUCGCGCCGCGCGAGGUGCGCCACACACAUGUUGAGAUCCAUUCGGUUCGUGCGCAAAAGGCUGUGCGGCACGAUGUGGGCCACGCCCGCGCUAGGAUCUAUUCAGUGUGCGCGCGGAAAGAGGCGGGCGCCAAGGCGCAGGCACCACCGCGCAAGAGAAAAAAAGGAUUUUGGCCAAUACGCAUCAAGAC
rnacentral:lncRNA from 1 species